UACGUAGGGUGCAAGCGUUGUCCGGAAUUAUUGGGCGUAAAGAGCUCGUAGGCGGUUCGUCGCGUCGGCUGUGAAAACCCGGAGCUCAACUCCGGGCCUGCAGUCGAUACGGGCGGACUUGAGUGUUGCAGGGGAGACUGGAAUUCCUGGUGUAGCGGUGAAAUGCGCAGAUAUCAGGAAGAACACCCGUGGCUAAGGCGGCUCUCUAGUACGGUACUGACGCUGAGACGCGAAAGCGUGGGGAGCGAACAGG
rnacentral:rRNA from 1 species